GCUUGAGUGGUGGAAUUGGUAGACACGCAAGACUUAAAAUCUUGUGCCCAUUAGGGCGUGCGGGUUCAAGUCCCGCCUCGAGUACAA
rnacentral:tRNA from 2 species